UGCUUGCAGCUAUAUUUAGGGGCCAAGCACCGAAGGUGCUUAGGCACCUAUUGUAUCCGUUAGGAUUCUUCUUCUUCUUCUUCUUCUUAUUAUUAUUAUUAUUAUUAUUAUUAUUAUUAUUCUUCCGCUUCCGCCGCAAGUCUAUGGCAGCCCAUAGAACCGAUUGCGGGAAAGUUGUAUAAUUUGGCACACUGAUAGAGGACAGUCCCAGCAUUAACUAUAGCAAAUUUGAAGUCUCUAACUCCAACUCUCUAGCGCCACCACUUGUCCAAAAUUUCAAUAUUUUUAUGCUAAUAACUUUUGAACCGUAAACCACAAAAUGAAAAUUCUUUUUUCCUCUGAAUCCUUGGCUCAGGCCAAGUCGAA
ensembl:lncRNA